rnacentral:rRNA from 1 species
CUUUGAUUCUGGCUCAGGAUGAACGCUAGCUACAGGCUUAACACAUGCAAGUCGAGGGGAAACGAUAGAGAAAGCUUGCUUUUUCUAGGCGUCGACCGGCGCACGGGUGAGUAACGCGUAUCCAACCUGCCCAUCACUUGGGGAUAACCUUGCGAAAGUAAGACUAAUACCCAAUGACGUCUCUAGAAGGCAUCUGAAAGAGAUUAAAGAUUUAUCGGUGAUGGAUGGGGAUGCGUCUGAUUAGCUUGUUGGCGGGGUAACGGCCCACCAAGGCGACGAUCAGUAGGGGUUCUGAGAGGAAGGUCCCCCACAUUGGAACUGAGACACGGUCCAAACUCCUACGGGAGGCAGCAGUGAGGAAUAUUGGUCAAUGGACGAGAGUCUGAACCAGCCAAGUAGCGUGCAGGAUGACGGCCCUAUGGGUUGUAAACUGCUUUUAUAAGGGAAUAAAGUGAGUCUCGUGAGACUUUUUGCAUGUACCUUAUGAAUAAGGACCGGCUAAUUCCGUGCCAGCAGCCGCGGUAAUACGGAAGGUCCGGGCGUUAUCCGGAUUUAUUGGGUUUAAAGGGAGCGUAGGCCGGAGAUUAAGCGUGUUGUGAAAUGUAGACGCUCAACGUCUGCACUGCAGCGCGAACUGGUUUCCUUGAGUACGCACAAAGUGGGCGGAAUUCGUGGUGUAGCGGUGAAAUGCUUAGAUAUCACGAAGAACUCCGAUUGCGAAGGCAGCUCACUGGAGCGCAACUGACGCUGAAGCUCGAAAGUGCGGGUAUCGAACAGGAUUAGAUACCCUGGUAGUCCGCACGGUAAACGAUGGAUGCCCGCUGUUGGUCUGAAUAGGUCAGCGGCCAAGCGAAAGCAUUAAGCAUCCCACCUGGGGAGUACGCCGGCAACGGUGCAACUCAAAUGAAUUGACGG